AAAGCAAACCGUUCUAUCGUUCCGGCUUAUGCCGGAAAGGAAAGUCCGGGCAACAAAGAGCAUUUCGCUUCCUAACGGGAAGGGUUACGCCUUGGGGUGUAAUACGGAAAGUGCCACAGAAAAUAAACCGCCCCUAUUUUUGGGGUAAGGGUGAAAACGCGAGGUAAGAGCUCACGGCUAUUUAUGGUGACAUAUUUGGCGGUAAACCCCGGAAGUUGAAAGGUCAAAUAGGUUCCGAAUGGAGUUGCUCGCUCUUUCCUGGUUUUAUAACCAGGUUUCGGAAUGGGUAGACCGUUUGAUCCUGUUAGUGAUGACAGGGCUAGAUAAAUGAUAGAACAUCUUAACUUAUAGAAUAGGAAGAUGACAGAACCCGGCUUACAGGUUUGCUUUUUUU
rnacentral:RNase_P_RNA from 1 species